AUGCUAGACUACUUCGCGAACAAUCCAACAUAUCCGCCGCACCUCUUCCGGAGAAGGUACCGAAUGCGCUGAUCCCUCUUUGUAAAACUAGUGCGAGCUUGCGAGGCCAAUUGUCGGUAUUUUACACAAAGAAGAGAUGUCGCGGGCUUGAAGGGAUUUAGUGCAUAUCAAAAAAUCUCGGUAGCUAUGUGGGUAAUUGCAUACGGCAUUCCGGCUGACUAUGUCGAUGAGUACCUUCGCAUUGGUAAAAAAAAGAGUCAGGGCGUAGGUUUGUCAAAGUGA
rnacentral:rRNA from 1 species